AGUGAACGCUGGCGGUAGGCCUAACACAUGCAAGUCGAACGGCAGCACAGUAAGAGCUUGCUCUUACGGGUGGCGAGUGGCGGACGGGUGAGGAAUACAUCGGAAUCUACUUUUUCGUGGGGGAUAACGUAGGGAAACUUACGCUAAUACCGCAUACGACCUACGGGUGAAAGCAGGGGAUCUUCGGACCUUGCGGGAUUGAAUGAGCCGAUGUCGGAUUAGCUGGUUGGCGGGGUAAAGGCCCACCAAGGCGACGAUCCGUAGCUGGUCUGAGAGGCUGAUCAGCCACACUGGAACUGAGACACGGUCCAGAGUCCUACGGGAGGCAGCAGUGGGGAAUAUUGGACAAUGGGCGCAAGCCUGAUCCAGCCAUACCGCGUGGGUGAAGAAGGCCUUCGGGUUGUAAAGCCCUUUUGUUGGGAAAGAAAAGCAGCAGGUUAAUACCCCGCUGUUCUGACGGUACCCAAAGAAUAAGCACCGGCUAACUUCGUG
rnacentral:rRNA from 1 species